ACUGGCCAUGACAGUUGCAGAUCAUCGGGGAGACAAGAACUAACUCCUCAUGAAUUAUUAAAGAGAUAUUCUCAAUGUUUGGUUGCUGUGGCAUGUUGGAAUAAUGUUGAGAAUGUUUUAUUGGUAGUAAAUCCCUACCCGAAUUUAAGAGUUGGCAAUGAAUAUUUUUUUAGUUGAAUGUUAUCCAAUCUCUUUUCAAUAACAUCUUUUGCAAGAGGAGUUUCGCUUUUUUUCUGAAAACUCUACGUCGUGAAUACACCUCCGUUGAUUUCUCUCUUGCCCAAAUGCGUUUCUUCUCCCAUACUCUUCCAUUGUACUUACGGAAACCCUUGGCGUCGGCCCCUUUUGUAACCCACUCACCAAAGAUUAAUCCGGUCGAAUUCCGCCGGCCGAUACUGAUAUUCAUACCGGCAGGAGAUCUGAACCCGCUGGAGAAGACAAAAUUAGCAGAGGCAGCGGAGGGAGCGGAAGAAGAGAACGCUGCUGAAGCUGAGAGAUCAGUACCAGAAAGAGAUCGACCACUGGGAACGCUUGUCAAACAUGUUACAGGAGAUGGAGAAAAGGACCCACCAACAACAACAGCAACAAACUUCUGUUGAAUUUCCUUUGCAGUCGUUGCAGACCUCAGGUUCCGUUUGCUAGCCAUCGAUCGACGACCUCUUAUUACAGGCGGAAGCCCAAGAAGCUAUUAUUCAGAAUCUUGCGAACCUAUGUGAUGUGGCGGAGGCUAUGUGCAAGGCGUCUGAUGAAGGCUUGAAGCAAUCUUUCUUCGAACUUCCAAUAUGGGGCACUGCUGUGGCCUCAUGGCCUCUCUGUCCGACGAGUGAUCUAUUGCGACAAAUGCCUUUGUAAUGAUUGUCAUGUAUUUUCUCAUAAAAUAUUAAAGUUUUUUUUUUGUCAAUAUUCUGUCUUUCUUUAUUAUUAUCUGCAACGAUAUCUCUCUCGGAAGAGGUAGUUGGUUUCAGCAAAGAUAAAAUUUUUUAAGUCUUAGGCUGCAUUUGCCUCACUUGCCUCUUUUUGCAGUUAAAAACUCUGCCUUUGGGCCAUUUUAACCGCAAAAGGAAGAUA